rnacentral:lncRNA from 1 species
UCCCGAAAGUUUGCUAGAAUAUUUUGUCCGAUUGCUUAGAUGAUCUGGUUGGUCAGUAGAGGAGCAUCGGCAGCCAUUGAGAGAGCCAUCGGGCAAGUCGUUAGUGAAUAGGACCGAAGAAGGAUCAAAUGUUACGACUAUUCUCUUGAAAAGGGGGUUUUUGGUCGAGAGUUAGACUGAUCGCUAAGCAUAAGAUUUGUUCGCUGUUGAUGCUUGUUCAGUCGAAAACCAUUGGCUAUGAACAGAUAGAUGUCCAAUCGGUCUGCAUCAUUUACAGAUAG